rnacentral:rRNA from 1 species
UCGAAACCUGCCUAGCAGAACGACCAGAGAACGUGUUCAUUAAACGAGGGGUCCAGAGCAGGUUUUCCCUGCAUUGGCCCUUCAUAAUGCCCUUACCGAGGGAUUAGGGUGUGUCGGCCUGUCCUUCCCCUGACGUGCCUCGGUAGCGGCUUUUUAACAAACCCCCGGCGCGGAAAGCGCCAAGGAAUUGCAAAUAAAAAGAUCGGCCACCCUGUGUUCUGGAAACAGUUCAACGGGGAUGCGCCGUGAUUUGAGAAAUCUAAACGACUCUCGGCAACGGAUAUCUCGGCUCUCGCAUCGAUGAAGAACGCAGCGAAAUGCGAUACUUGGUGUGAAUUGCAGGAUCCCGUGAACCAUCGAGUUUUUGAACGCAAGUUGCGCCCAAAGCCUUUUGGCCGAGGGCACGUCUGCCUGGGUGUCACUCAAUCGUCGCUCAACCCUCUCCAAAUUUAAAAGUGGAGUGAGAUUUGGGCGGAAGAUGGCUUCCCGUCUGCUCUUUGCAUGCGGUUGGCCCAAAUGUCCGGUCCUCGGCAUCGCCGCCAUGGCAAUCGGUGGUUGUACGACCCUCGCUAUGCGCUGUGAGCGAUCCGGUGCUGGAGUGACCUACAAGGCCCCGAAGCGUUACUGAUGAAACGCUCGCAAUGCGACC